UUGCUGGGAGUUGAACAGUUUGGGAUGGCUGACCGUAGAGCGUGAGAGUCGUGUAAGCGGACCGGUGGCAGUGUGUGUGGGUGUGGUGCCCGAGUAGCGCGGGACUCGUGAAAUCUCGUGUGAAUCUGCCAAGACCACUUGGUAAGCCUAAAUACUACUUGAUGACCGAUAGUGCAUAGUACCGUGAGGGAAUGGUGAAAAGUACCCCGGGAGGGGAGUGAAAUAGUACCUGAAACCGUGUGCCUGUAAGCCGUCAGAGCCUUGUGGGGUGAUGGCGUGCCUUUUGAAGAAUGAGCCUGCGAGUUAGUGAUACGUGGCGUGCUUAACCCGUGUGGGGUAUGCGUAGCGAAAGCGAGUCUGAAAUAUGGCGUUGGUCGCGUGUUCUAGACCCGAAGCGGGGUGAUCUACCCAUGGUCAGGUUGAAGCAGAGGUAAGACUGUGUGGAGGACCGAACCCACCAGGGUUGAAAACCUGGGGGAUGAACUGUGGGUAGGGGUGAAAGGCCAAUCAAACUCCGUGAUAGCUGGUUCUCCCCGAAAUGCAUUUAGGUGCAGCGUCGCGUGGUCCCUGGUGGAGGUAGAGCUACUGGAUGGCCGAUGGGCCCUAUGGGUUACUGACGUCAGCCAAACUCCGAAUGCCAUUAGGUGUAGCGCGGCAGUGAGACUGCGGGGGAUAAGCUUCGUAGUCGAGAGGGAAACAGCCCAGAUCAUCAGCUAAGGCCCCUAAGCGUACGCUAAGUGGGAAAGGAUGUGGAGUCGCGGUGACAACCAGGAGGUUGGCUUAGAAGCAGCCAUCCUUGAAAGAGUGCGUAAUAGCUCACUGGUCAAGUGGUUCUGCGCCGACAAUGUAGCGGGGCUCAAGCGUACCGCCGAAGCUGUGGCAACAACACAUAUGACUGGCGCCAGGAACUGGAGUGCUGGUGUGUUGUUGGGUAGGGGAGCGUCCUGCACGAGGUGAAGCCUGGAGGUGACUUCUGGUGGAUUGUGUGGGAGUGAGAAUGCAGGCAUGAGUAACGAAUCUGCGGUGAGAAUCCGCAGCGCCGAUUGACUAAGGGUUCCAGGGCUAGGUUUAUCCGCCCUGGGUUAGUCGGGUCCUAAGGCGAGGCCGACAGGCGUAGUCGAUGGACAACCAGUUGAUAUUCUGGUACCGCGUUAUGACCGCCCAUGCUGAAGUCAUUGUGCUAACCAAUUUGCUCACACCACCACGUAACCUUCGGGUUUGUUGGUGUGUGUGGGUCUUGGGGCCCCGGUGAUUGUAGGCAAGCGUGUUAACAGGGGUGACGCAGACAGGUAGCUGCAGUGCGCCGAUGGUUGUGCGUAUUUAAGGUUGUGGCCCGUCCCUCAGGCAAAUCCGGGGGACACUAAGGGUGAGAACUGAUGAGGGACACACGCGUGUGUGGACUUGUGGUGAUCCUAAGCUGCCGAGAAAAGCCUCGACGUGAGGGCAUGACGCGCCCGUACCCUAAACCGACUCAGGUGGUCAGGUAGAGUAUACCGAGGCGUUCGAGUGAAUCGUGGUUAAGGAACUCGGCAAAAUUCCUCCGUAACUUCGGGAUAAGGAGGACCCCGUGACUUGCGCCCGCCUUGCGUGGGUGUUGGGUUGUGGGGUCGCAGAGAAUAGGGAGAAGCGACUGUUUAUCAAAAACACAGGUGCGUGCGAAGCCGUAAGGCGAUGUAUACGCACUGACGCCUGCCCGGUGCUGGAAGGUUAAGAGGAACCGUCAACACCCCCUGGGGUGUGAAGCGGUGAAUUUAAGCCCCAGUAAACGGCGGUGGUAACUAUAACCAUCCUAAGGUAGCGAAAUUCCUUGUCGGGUAAGUUCCGACCUGCACGAAUGGCGUAACGACUUCUCCGCUGUCUCAACCGUGAACUCGGUGAAAUUGCAGUACGAGUAAAGAUGCUCGUUUCGCGCAGAAGGACGGAAAGACCCCGGGACCUUUACUAUAGCUUGGUAUUGGUGUUCGCUUGGACUUGUGUAGGAUAGGUGGGAGACUGUGAAGCUGCCGCGCCAGCGGUGGUGGAGUCGUCGUUGAAAUACCAUUCUGGUUCAAGCGGUCACCUCAACCUUGGCCCGUGAUCCGGGUUGGGGACAGUGCCUGGUGGGUAGUUUAACUGGGGCGGUUGCCUCCUAAAAUGUAACGGAGGCGCUCAAAGGUUCCCUCAGCCUGGUUGGUAAUCAGGUGGCGAGUGCAAGUGUACAAGGGAGCUUGACUGUGAGACCGACGGGUCGAGCAGGUGCGAAAGCAGGAACUAGUGAUCCGGCCAUGGCACGUGGGUGCGUGGUCGCUCAACGGAUAAAAGGUACCCCGGGGAUAACAGGCUGAUCUUGCCCAAGAGUCCAUAUCGACGGCAUGGUUUGGCACCUCGAUGUCGGCUCGUCGCAUCCUGGGGCUGGAGCAGGUCCCA
rnacentral:rRNA from 1 species